UUGUUCGUGAACUUGACUUUAGAACAACUUCUUUAAACGAUCGGUGAUUUUCUUCACUUCUUGAAGUUAGCGUUGUUCUUUGUUUGUACGUUUGCUCGAGGUUCUUUCGUUGCUCGCGGUGUGGUUACUAAAAACCAACCGUCCGUCUUCAAAUCGUUCUCAGUGUUCUGUGAUCAGUUCUUCAAGAAAGAAGAAAGUGUCGUCCGAAGACAAAAAGACUCUCAGCAACAUACCCUCGAUCGAAUCCAAGUGACAAAAAAUAUCCUAUUGCGGUGAAAACUGUGUAGAACGUACAAAAAGUCUCAUUCUUUGCGGUUGUCCUUUUUAGUUCAAUCGGGUGUUGACUUUAUCGCGGUUUAUUUGUUUGUUUGAAUAGGCGACGAAAUCAACGGAAAAAUAGACUCGUAGAAAUGGCAAAACUUGUUCUUGUGUUCUGUUGUGCCGUGCUGGCUUGUGUUGCAGCUCAACGUAUAACGACCAUUCAACUGGAUGGCGUCCAAUACUUCAUCAGCCGGAUGAACCCUUACUCGCCUGAAUUGAAUUAUUUCCUCGCAUACCAAUAUUGUAGAUCACUAGGAUUGCAGUUGGCAUCAUUCGAAACAAAAGAAAAAGUCGAGUCUAUGUCCACAUACCUGCAGAAUGCAGGCUAUAGUAAAUAUGACUUCUGGACAUCAGGAAAUCGACUUGGAACGGGAAUGUUUAUUUGGAUGAGCACCGGAUUACCUUUCAAUGCCACAUUUGAUUUCUUCGAAAAUGCCGAAGACUCCGCCAAGGCUGGUCUUUUGGAUCCUGUUGAUCACAACAGCAACACAACCCCACAAAGAACUGCUCGCGACAGUAGCAUCGCCCUUACCAAGAACUGUGUCAUGAUGCGUGGACCAAAUCUACGAUGGGUUCCAGAAGAUUGCUCCGUUGUGAAAGACUUCAUUUGCGAACAAACCAGAUGUUACUAUUACAAUUACGGAAGCAUUCCAGUCUCAUCGGCGCAGGGGUAAGGACAAUGUGUGUGGACAAUCAACAUCUACUAUGUAAAACUGCCCGCCAUAUCUAAGCAAAUAAAUACAAACAAACAAAUGAAAAUACAUCCAAAAAAGUGUUUUAGUUAAAUAAAUAGACGUCCAAUCACAUCAACAACAGCCCGUCAACCAAUCCCCUACACCACCACACCCCUUCCAGAUAUCCUUUCAAGUACUCUAGCUUCCGUGCUCGCCAGACGCAACAACGUUGAAGAUGCUCCUUUGGCAAAAUCCG
rnacentral:misc_RNA from 1 species